rnacentral:lncRNA from 1 species
UGUUAUUGAAUAAUGUAAUUUAAAUUUAGAUUUUUUUUUCCUCAAGUAUACAAUUAGAUAAUUUUAAGUUUUUAACCAAUAAAAAUUUUAAGUGAAGAAUAAUUAGUCGGAUGGUUAUUUAGGUCGAGAUUUUGCAGUAUUAGCAGGGAUAAUUUAACCAAUAAAUUAAAUUCUAAGAGAUGUAUAUAUUCAUUUUAUUGUUUUUUUUUGUACUACGAAGAAAUUUAUUCACUUGAGUAUAUAUUGUUUUUGCAAGGUUUUUAGUCCAUAUAUAGUAGUAGUCUCGAGUUAGAGAGAUUACAACAUGUUAAUCAAAAACUAAUUCUCCGGUAUGUAUCAACCACAUGACCUACUGAAUCUUU